rnacentral:misc_RNA from 1 species
GCAAACUUGGUCAUUUAGAGGAAGUAAAAGUCGUAACAAGGUUUCCGUAGGUGAACCUGCGGAAGGAUCAUCAAAGUGAUUCGGGGUGUGUCGGCGUGGAAAACUGCGCUGGGCACCACCCCAACCAAUCUUGUGUGAACUGUAGCGUGAGGAUUGCGUGUGGAUUGGUUGGCAGUACGGGGGGAGACCCUCCGCCAACCACCGCCAUACGUGCAUCAAUCUCUUUGUAAUCUUGUCUAACAUUACACACACUAAAUCAACACAACUUUUAACAAUGGAUCUCUUGGCUCUCGCAUCGAUGAAGAACGCAGC